rnacentral:rRNA from 1 species
CCUACGGGAGGCUGCAGUAGGGAAUAUUGCUCAAUGGGGGAAACCCUGAAGCAGCAACGCCGCGUGGAGGAUGAAGGUUUUCGGAUUGUAAACUCCUUUUGUUAGAGAAGAGAAUGACGGUAUCUAACGAAUAAGCACCGGCUAACUCCGUGCCAGCAGCCGCGGUAAUACGGAGGGUGCAAGCGUUAACCGGAAUCACUGGGCGGAAAGAGCGCGUAGGCGGGUUAGCAAGUCAGAUGUGAAUUCCUAUGGCUUAACCAUAGAACUGCAUUUGAAACUGUUAUUCUAGAGUAUGGGAGAGGUAGGUGGAAUUCUUGGUGUAGGGGUAAAAUCCGUAGAGAUCAAGAGGAAUACUCAUUGCGAAGGCGACCUGCUAGAACAUAACUGACGCUGAUGCGCGAAAGCGUGGGGAGCAAACAGGAUUAGAUACCCUUGUAGUC